rnacentral:rRNA from 1 species
UAGGGAAUCUUCGGCAAUGGGGGCAACCCUGACCGAGCAACGCCGCGUGAGUGAAGAAGGUUUUCGGAUCGUAAAGCUCUGUUGUAAGUCAAGAACGGGUGUGAGAGUGGAAAGUUCACACUGUGACGGUAGCUUACCAGAAAGGGACGGCUAACUACGUGCCAGCAGCCGCGGUAAUACGUAGGUCCCGAGCGUUGUCCGGAUUUAUUGGGCGUAAAGCGAGCGCAGGCGGUUUGAUAAGUCUGAAGUUAAAGGCUGUGGCUCAACCAUAGUUCGCUUUGGAAACUGUCAAACUUGAGUGCAGAAGGGGAGAGUGGAAUUCCAUGUGUAGCGGUGAAAUGCGUAGAUAUAUGGAGGAACACCGGUGGCGAAAGCGGCUCUCUGGUCUGUAACUGACGCUGAGGCUCGAAAGCGUGGGGAGCGAACAGGAUUAGAUACCCUGGUAGU